rnacentral:piRNA from 1 species
UACUGCAAAGAGGCCUGGAUGUCACUGU